rnacentral:rRNA from 1 species
UACGGGGGGGGGGCAAGCGUUGUUCGGAAUUACUGGGCGUAAAGGGCUCGUAGGCGGCCAACUAAGUCGGACGUGAAAUCCCAGGGCUCAACCCUGGAACUGCGCCCGAUACUGCAGUGCUUGAGGGAGACAGAGGUAAGCGGAACUGAUGGUGGAGCGGUGAAAAUGCGUAGAUAUCGGGAGGAACACCCGUGGCGAAGGCGGCUCUCUGGCCUGUAACUGACGCUGAGGCGCGAAAGCGUGGGGAGCAAACAGG